GACGAACGCUGGCGGCGUGCUUAACACAUGCAAGUGGAGCGACGAACCGGGCUUCGGCCCGGGGCAGAGCCGCGAACGGGUGAGUAACACGUGGGUAGCCUGCCCCAAUGAUUGGGACAACCCCGGGAAACCGGGGCUAAUACCAAAUGUGCUCACGUCGCACGAGGGACGUGAGGAAAGGAAGCUUCGGCCUCCGCGUUGGGAUGGGCCCGCGGCGCAUUAGCUUGUUGGUAGGGUAACGGCGUACCAAGGCUUCGAUGCGUAGCUGGUCUGAGAGGACGAUCAGCCACACUGGGACUGCGACACGGCCCAGACUCCUACGGGAGGCAGCAGUGGGGAAUUUUGACAAUGGGCGCAAGCCUGAUCCAGCCAUUCCGCGUGCAGGAAGAAGGCCUUCGGGUUGUAAACUGCUUUUGUACGGAACGAAACGCGCUGAGCUAAUACCUCGGCGUAAUGACGGUACCGUAAGAAUAAGCACCGGCUAACUACGUGCCAGCAGCCGCCGUAACAC
rnacentral:rRNA from 1 species